AUUGAACGCUGGCGGCAUGCCUUACACAUGCAAGUCGAACGGUAACAGGUCUUCGGAUGCUGACGAGUGGCGAACGGGUGAGUAAUACAUCGGAACGUGCCUAGUAGUGGGGGAUAACUACUCGAAAGAGUGGCUAAUACCGCAUGAGAUCUACGGAUGAAAGCAGGGGAUCGCAAGACCUCGUGCUACUAGAGCGGCCGAUGGCAGAUUAGGUAGUUGGUGGGAUAAAAGCUUACCAAGCCGACGAUCUGUAGCUGGUCUGAGAGGACGAUCAGCCACACUGGGACUGAGACACGGCCCAGACUCCUACGGGAGGCAGCAGUGGGGAAUUUUGGACAAUGGGCGCAAGCCUGAUCCAGCAAUGCCGCGUGCAGGAUGAAGGCCUUCGGGUUGUAAACUGCUUUUGUACGGAACGAAAAGCCCCGGGUUAAUACCCUGGGGUCAUGACGGUACCGUAAGAAUAAGCACCGGCUAACUACGCGCCAGCCGCCGCAGUAAAAC
rnacentral:rRNA from 1 species